AGAGUUUGAUCCUGGCUCAGGACGAACGCUGGCGGCGUGCCUAAUACAUGCAAGUCGAGCGGACUGUUCCUUCGGGAACAGUUAGCGGCGGACGGGUGAGUAAUACGUAGGCAACCUGCCUGUAAGACCGGGAUAACUAUCGGAAACGAUAGCUAAGAGCGGAUAGCUGGUUUGCCCGCAUGGGCGAAUCAUGAAACACG
rnacentral:rRNA from 1 species